rnacentral:tRNA from 1 species
AGCAGCGUGGCUCAGUGGAAAGAGCAUGGGCUUUGGAGUCAGAGGUCAUGAGUUCAAAUCCCAGCGCUGCCA